UUCUCUUCGUCGGACAUAACUCAGUUGAAACAUGAGGAGAUCGACUUCGCUGUGCGUCGCGAUGGCGGUGGAGAAGAAGAAGCCGAAGGAGGACCGCCCCUACCUGGAGUCGGAGUGCCGCGACCUAGCGGAGGCCAACAAGUGGCGCCAACAAAUCAUGCGCGAGAUCGGCCGAAAAAUCGCUGAGAUCUAGAACGAAGGCGAGACAAAGCGAGAGCGGUGGUGAUUGAAGCGGCGGAGUAUUUGAGACGAAGCGCUUCGUGGCGAGGGGUGAAGCAGAAGAUGGCAGAGGCGACGAGGCCGGGGCAGAGACGACGAGGCCAGGGGCGGCGGCGCUUCGCGGCGGGGGGCGAACCAGGAGAUGGCGGAGGCGACGAGGCCGAGGCGGCGAUCUGAGAUCGAAAAGAAAGGGAGGGAGGGAGAGAGAGAGAGAAGGGGGAAGGGCCGUGAGGGAGAAGAGAGAGAAAGAGAGUGGAGAGAGAGAGUACAUAUAUUUAAAGGAGGGUUAUUUUGUCUUUCAAUCAAAAAGUGGACUAAUUUUUAUUAUUUUAUCUUAGUGGACUAAUUUUUAUCUUUACAAUAUGAAAGUGGAUAGUUUUAUAUAUUAACUCAAUUAUAAAUAUUAUUAUUAUUAUUUUACAUUAAGAGGAUUAUUAUUAUUAUUAUUAUUAUUAUUNAGAACAUUAAAUUGUGAAUUCAUAAAUUUGAUUGUGAAUUUAAGAACAUUAAAAAAAUAAUUAUACAGCUCAAUCAAAUUGGUGUACAACACCAAAAUACAACAACUCAAUCUACCAUCAAUUGACUAUACAUCAGCUGUUUUUUCACAUCUAUUUCUCAUUCAUCAAGCUAAACUAAUUCACACAUCAUCUUCUUCCACAAAUUCCCAAAUUUCCUGCUCUUUUCCCCAAUUUCCAGUCCUUGCAAUUAAACUAACUUGAAGAAAGUAAAAUUGAAUUGAGGUUUAGAUAAACAAACCAUCCCAAUUUUGAGUACAAAAGAAAGUAAAAUUCUGAAUCAAGAUGAAUACAAUUGAUUUCAAAUCCAUCAUAAAACAAACUUGAUAAUCCAAUUUUUUUUUGUAGAAUUUGUUACCGGCAAUUUUGGGCAGCAAUCGCUACUCCCAAUUACAGUAUCUCACAAAUCACAAUCAUCGCCUCUCUCUCGUCCCAACCUGCCGUUCCCUAGAUCUCUCUAGCUAUCUCAUCUCCUUGUCGUAGUUGCCACACCAUCGCCGGCGUCGCGCCAUCGCCACCGCCAUUGCCGCUGCGUCUCUGCCGUCCUAUUUUUCCCCUCUCUCGGUUUCUCUCGUUCAUCAGCUAUAGCGCUUUCGAUUGCACUUCGUUCUGCCGCCUAUAGCAGCGUCGUUCGUCACAACAUCGCCGUCGAGACUCGAGCCACCGCCUGACGAAAUCUGCUUCAACGUGCCUUAAUUUCUUCCUUGGAUUCGAUUUCGAGGAGAUCUGCUUGCGGCUGGAGGCGGACAAGAGAUCUACCUGAAUCUGGAUGGCCGGCGGAUCUGACUUCUCUUCGUCGGACAUAACUUAGUUGAAACUUGAGGAGAUCGACUUCGCUGUGCAUCGCGAUGGUGGUGGAGAAGAAGAAGCCGAAGGAGGACCGCCCCUACCUGGAGUCGGAGUGCCGCGACCUAGCGGAGGCCAACAAGUGGCGCCAGCAAAUCAUGCGCGAGAUCGGCCGGAAAAUCGCUGAGAUCUAGAACGAAGGCGAGACGAAGCGAGAGCGGCGGUGAUUGAAGCGGCGGAGUAUUUGAGACGAAGCGCUUCGUGGCGGGGGGACGAGGCCGGGGCAGAGACGACGAGGCCGGGGGAGGCGGCGCUUCGCGGCGGGGGGCGAACCAGGAGAUGGCGGAGGCGAUGACGAGGCCGAGGCGGCGAUCUGAGCCGGAAGGGAGGGAGGGAGAGAGAGAGAGAAGGGGGAAGGGCCGUG
rnacentral:lncRNA from 1 species